rnacentral:lncRNA from 1 species
CCGCCCCGCUGCCUCUGUCGGGCCUGGGCGGCGGGGACGAGAGUAACAAUUCCAAGAUGCAGAGGGGUACAAGAAUCUCAUUCAGCUCUGUGAAUUCCUCUCUUUCAUCUCUGAAAAACUGCCAGUCUUACAUAAAUACUGGAAUGGAUAUUGCUACUCACGUUGCCCUUGACCUGGUGGAAAAUUUCAAUGAUGAAGAGGAUGUUAGAAGUAUGGAGAAUGUCAUGUUAGAGUAUGCUGCAUUGGACAGAGAGCUUAAUCAUUACAUGAGAGCAAUUGAAGAAACGGUAGAUCAGGU